rnacentral:rRNA from 1 species
GAUGAACGCUGGCGGCGUGCCUAAUACAUGCAAGUCGAGCGAACGGACGAUAAGCUUGCUUCUCUGAUGUUAGCGGCGGACGUGUGAGUAACACGUGUAUAACGUACCUAUAAGACUGGUAUAACUUCGGGAAACCGGAUCUAAUACCGGAGGAGAUUUUGAACCGCAUGGUUCAAUAGUGAAAGACGGCCGUGCUGUCACGUAUAGAUGGAUCUGCGCUGCAUUAGCUAGUUGGUAAGGUAACGGCUUACCAAGGCAACGAGGCAUAGCCGACGUGAGAGGGUGAUCGCCGACCCUGGAACGGGACCAGGGACAUGACUCCUAAGGUAGGGCGCAGUAGGGAAUCUUCGGCAGCGGGCGAAAGCCUGACGGAGCAGCGCCGAGUGAGUUGUGGCGGCCUUCGGAUCGUAAAGAUCUGUUAUUAGGGAAGAACAUCUGUGUAAGGAAAUGUGCACAUCUUGACGGUAACUAAUAAGAAAGCAACGGCUAACUACGUG